AAAACCAACAGUAGCAAAAUAUUUAAUUUGAAAUUAUAAAAAUUACCCAAUAGAUAUAAACCUCAUCGCGGUUGUUAUCGAUUAUUUCUUUCAUCCAUAAAGUCUCCAAAAAUGAUACAUGUUAGUAUCCACAAAUUAUUUGACUUCAUGGGGUUGAUCUUCACUUGAGGCCAGCAGACAUAACUAUCUCAUCAUGAAUAGAUGAUUUGAACACAAGAACCUUCAUGUUAGUAGCCUUACUGAGGAAACUUUCGAGAACAUUGAAUGUCUCUUUUGUUGAUCAUUCUUAAAGGUAAAGUAAAGACUUACGGGACUACCUCAUUAUAAGGAAACCACCGAUCACUGGAGAAUUGACUUUCAGUUGAAUAACUUGACAUUUGAUCCUUUUUUAUCAUCCGUAAUUUCAUGAUAUGGAUAUGAAAUUUCCUGAUAUUUCAAGUGUCAUGGUAGUUUGAUACUGAACUCAAGUUGUAACUCUGUAGAAGUAUGAGUGAAAGAAAUGAAAGCAUUAAAAUAAAAAAUACUAUACUAUCAAAAAGAGACGAUGUACCAAUAAAAUAUAACUUUUAUUGUCAGAAAGCGUCAAAGUUAUAAAAAACACAAUGACAAAAAUCAAAAUUGAUCUCAAAAGAAUAUCUGUAUAAAUUUACAGAGAAUCUUAACCUAAUUUUUGUAUAUAUUGUAGCUCCAUAAGUUGUAUUUCAAACGGCACAAACAGAUCAUAGUUUUGACAUGUUUGCAAAAAGAUAUAAUUUUUUUAGUGAGGACGCGUAAAGGAUACCAAUAUAUGUUAAAUAAAUUCAAAAGCAUAUAUUUAUGAAUAUACAAAGAAUCUAGAUCUGUUUUUUGUAUAUAUUUGGUUCUCGAAGAGCUCUUUUCAACGGCACAAGCGAAUCAUGAUUUUGAGGCAUCUACAAAAAGAUAUAACUUUUUUAGUCAAGACGUGUUGUUUCUAAAAAUUUCAUCAUUCAUGGGUAGAAUUAUUUGAGGAAAGAAGGAUUGAGAAGAAAGAAAGUGUAAAGAAAAGAGAUGUGAC
rnacentral:lncRNA from 1 species